GAUGAAGAACGCAGCGAAAUGCGAUACUUGGUGUGAAUUGCAGAAUCCCGUGAACCAUCGAGUCUUUGAACGCAAGUUGCGCCUCAAGCCAUUAGGUUGAGGGCACGUCUGCCUGGGCGUCACAUAUCGUUGCCUGAUGCCAGUUUCCUCGUGAUGGGUGACUGUGCAGGGCGAAUGAUGGCUUCCCGUGAGCAUUGUUGCCUCAUGGUUGGUUGAAAAUUGAGUCUUGGGAGGGAGCGCCGUGAUAGAUGGUGGUUGAGUGACGAACGAGACCCAAUCAUGGGAGACCCCUACCGAAUUUGGCCUUCAUGACCCACAUGCGUCUUUGGAACGCUCAUGACGAGACCUCAGGUCAGGCGGGGCUACCCGCUGAGUUUAAGCAUAUCAAUAAGCGGAGGA
rnacentral:misc_RNA from 1 species